AUCUAUGGCCAUGCUACCCUGAUUCCUGUCUGAUCUCAGAAGCUGAGCAGGGUCGGGCUUGGUUAGUACUUGGAUGGGAGACCACCUAGGAAGACCAGGUGCUGCAGGCA
rnacentral:rRNA from 1 species